rnacentral:lncRNA from 1 species
AAGGGGGAAAAUAUGCCACAGGUUUUGUUUGGGUGGUUUCCACUGAAGCUUAGCAAGUUCAUGCUUUUGUAUUGUCUAUUAUCAGAUAUAAUUUCUCAAAAGCAGAUGGCAAAGAGGCAGUAUUAGAAAAUUUGUAAAUUACUAUCCUUCAGUAAAGACAAACCAUGGAGUAAGACUGCCACCCCUUUAAACACCCAAACCACCUUCAAUCAUUCUGACUGGUUCUUCAUGUUCUACCCUUUAUGCUCUUUUGGCUGAAGAUCAAGUUCAUCUGUUAUUGCUGCUUUCUUUCUGUCUGCUAAGAUCCUUGCACACACUUGUUUUGCAUCCCAAACUGUUUUACCUGGCAAAGGAACUAAGCACAGCUGUUUUCCAUCUUCAUUAUUAUUCAUUUUAUUUGCAAAUAGUGGACCAUUAAAAUUAGAGGUAACAACAAAAAAGCAAAGUGAUCGGGUAUAUUAAAAACCAAAACUUGGAACAAUAUAUCUACUCCUCUGAAACUGCUUAGUGUUGGAAAUUGCCACUGAUCCAUCAAAUUCAGCCAGCAAAACUGAAGCAAUUUACUUUCACAUUUUACUAAAUGGCCACUUUUAAGCAUCCAGGAGAGACUGCAUCUUUCCUAGGCUAGAUGACUCUCUUGGUUUCCUGGGCAGUUAGGGACUCCAUGGCUUGACAGGUAUGCAGUGUAGGCAAGAUAACACAAAAGCAGCUGUUGUUAAGCUAGUUGGGUAGAUUUUGCCAAGACUUUUGCAUAAGACUUCUUUUCUGACUCAAUGAUUAAAAUGUCACCUUUGGCAAAAUAGUCUCAGAUAUUUUCUUUGCUGUCUGACUUCGAAAAAGCAAGAUUACAAACACCUUAAUCAAUGAAUGUCUGCUCCUGGACGGAUUGCCUAAGAGGCAUUGUAUCAAUCUUCUCUUCAAAACACUUCAGUAUUUUCGCAUUUCCUAUAGACUAGAGUAAAAAAUUUUUUUGGACAUUUAAGUUCCAAUACAAUAUGAGUUCCAUCUUUUUCCAAACUUUAUUACAACCUUGGCUCAAACAAUGUCAUUCUGAGAUUGAACUCUUCACUGAGAUAUGCCAGUUACCUCUUUGCCUAUGUGAGCGUGUAUGUGUGUGUACUUAUAUACUUCUUCAACAACCAAAAUGAUCUCCAUAGCCCUCGUAUUAAUGUCCUAUUUAUCCUUGCAUUAGGCUUGACUUUUUUUAGGGCCGCAUCUACAACAUACGGAUGUUCCCAGACUAGGGUUUGAAUUGGAGCUGCAGCUGCCAACCUCCAUCACAGCAGCAGCAACAAUGGAUAUAAGCCACGUCUGCGACCACUACCACAGCUCACAACAAUGCUGAAUCCUUCACCCACUGAGCCAGGCCAGGGAUUGAACCUGCAUCCUCACCAACACUAUGUCAGGUGGAAAAGUCUGGAUGAGAUAUUGAGAAGUGAUGUUUUAUGAGGAACAAUAAGUAAACUGAGUGUGUGUAGUCAGAAAAAGAGGAAGCUAAGGGGAGAUGUGGUUCCCAAUGACAAAAAUUUUGCAGCCUAAGUUCUAUGAUCACUGGCUAAGGGGAAUCCUCAUGACUGAUCGAGUGGUGAGGUAAGAUAUGAACACAGAAAUCUGUACACCAGUGCAGAAUGUGAUAGGUGUUAUAAAGUUCCUAGUCAGUGUUCAGUUGGGAAAAAAAAUGCCCCUAAAUAUUGCAGGUAGAGAGAGAUGCAAUAUAUGAAAAGGGGGGAAAAAUUGAUAUUAUUCAGAGAGCAGGAAGCUUCACCUGGAUCCCAGGACCCCAUAACUUGCGGCUGUCAUCAGUAGGAGCCACCCUUCCUACAACCACUGGCAAGACCUCUGCUGCUCUCAUGGCAGGAGACUCUGCUGGUGCUUCAGGGGCUACAGCCAGAAACUCAGUGCCUUCUUUCUUCUCCAGCCUUUAGUCCCUCCUCCCAACCUCAUCAAAUCCAUCUGGCAGUGGAGUCCUGGCAGUGUUAGUUUUCUGAUUCUCAUUGAGGCAGGAAAAGUGCACAGGGGAGAUAAUGGAAGCGUAGGUAGGGGGGGCUGGUUACCAACUGGCACAGAUAAGGUGAAAAGUUACAUAGAAAGAAGGACCCAGGCAGGAUAUAUAGAGAAAACAUUGAAAUGCUCAUAGAAGAAUUUGUAUCUACAAAUAUUUAAAGGAUUGCCUUUGGAAAGGUAGUGAAGAGAUGUUCUGUGUUGCUCUGAGUAAACAGUAGACGUUACUCAGUGAUGAAAUUUUGGUGUUUAUAUAAAAUCACUUCUUCGUAACUAAAGUCCACGUUUGAAUGUUCUGCUCUGUCAUUAAGUGAAGUGUUCAAGCACAAAUUUAAUGGUAACUUGUUUCAUGCCUGCUCUAGAAAGAAUUCUUAUAUAGUAGGUGGUAGGUUGGAUUGAAUGGCAUCUAGAGAUCCUUAGAAUUUUACAAUUAUCUGACUUCUAAAUCCACUCAUCUAAAAAUAACACAAAUGUAAAGUUGAUGGAUUAAUAUACAAAACAUUAAAAGAAACGAACAAAAGAAAUUGUAUAUAUUCAACAUGUUUCAAUCACCAGGAAAUAAUGAAUCCACAAAGAGGUUUUCUUAUCAGCCAUUUUCAGGAUUCUGAACUUUUCUUAUAAAUAUCCAUCAGCACUCCAAAUAAGCCUUUGGGGUUCUAUGCAAGAUUUGGGUGGGAAAAGAUUCCACGCAGACACUGGCACAGUACCGAAGGGUGGCAGCGAACUUGCCAGCUUCACAUAUCAGGGCCAGGAGCAGCAUCUGUGUGUGAGAGAAGAUUAUCCCAUUGGCAAAUUACACUCACUGGCAGGGGUGCCAUUAUGCUGUUAUUGCCUAAAAAUCCUUUGCUUCCACCUGAACAUAAUUCUGGUGGUGCAAGGUGAUGAAGAAGGAUGCAUUCCCUUUACAUGUAAGAGAAAUAAACUUGGAAACUAAAGGACACACACACAAAAAUGAAAGAAGACAGGAUAGAUUCUUUUGUUAUGUGAGUAAGAAAAUACAUUAAUAAAGAAUUUCCUGAGGAGUUCCAGUCGUGGCUCAGUGGUUAACGAACCUGACUAGCAUCCAGGAGGACGUGCGUUUGAUCCCUCGCCUUGCUCAUUGGGUUAAGGAUCUGGCGUUGCCAGAGCUGAGGUGUAGGUCACAGACAUGGCUCAGAUCCUGUGCUGCUGUGGCUGUGGUGCAGGCCAGCAGCUACAGCUCCGACUUGACCCCUAGCCUGGGAACCUUCAUAUGCUGCAAGUGUGGCCCUAAAA